rnacentral:piRNA from 1 species
UUGACUCUAGCUGCAUAU